AGCGAACGCUGGCAGCAGGCCUAACACAUGCAAGUCGAACGGAUCCUUCGGGAUUAGUGGCGGACGGGUGAGUAACACGUGGGAACGUGCCCUAUGGUUCGGAACAACUCAGGGAAACUUGAGCUAAUACCGGAUGUGCCCUUCGGGGGAAAGAUUUAUCGCCAUUGGAGCGGCCCGCGUCUGAUUAGCUAGUUGGUGAGGUAAAGGCUCACCAAGGCGACGAUCAGUAGCUGGUCUGAGAGGAUGAUCAGCCACAUUGGGACUGAGACACGGCCCAAACUCCUACGGGAGGCAGCAGUGGGGAAUCUUGCGCAAUGGGCGAAAGCCUGACGCAGCCAUGCCGCGUGAAUGAUGAAGGUCUUAGGAUUGUAAAAUUCUUUCACCGGGGACGAUAAUGACGGUACCCGGAGAAGAAGCCCCGGCUAACUUCGUGCCAGCCGCCGCCGUAACAC
rnacentral:rRNA from 1 species